GGAUAGCUUGGCUGGUUAGAACAUGAUGCUGAUAACACCAAGGUUACAGGUUCAAUCCCUGUAUGGGACA